UAAGCAUAUCAAUAAGCGGAGGAAAAGAAACUAACAAGGAUUCCCCUAGUAACUGCGAGUGAAGCGGGAAAAGCUCAAAUUUAAAAUCUGGUGGUCUUUGGCCAUCCGAGUUGUAGUCUGGAGAAGUGCUUUCCGCGUUGGACCGUGUACAAGUCUCUUGGAACAGAGCGUCAUAGAGGGUGAGAAUCCCGUCUUUGACACGGACUACCAAUGCUUUGUGAUGCGCUCUCAAAGAGUCGAGUUGUUUGGGAAUGCAGCUCAAAAUGGGUGGUAAAUUCCAUCUAAAGCUAAAUAUUGGCGAGAGACCGAUAGCGAACAAGUACCGUGAGGGAAAGAUGAAAAGCACUUUGGAAAGAGAGUUAAACAGUACGUGAAAUUGCUGAAAGGGAAACGCUUGAAGUCAGUCGCGUUGGCCGGAACUCAGCCUUGCUUUUGCUAGGUGCACUUUCUGGUUGACGGGCCAGCAUCAAUUUUGAUUGUUGGAUAAAGGUUGGGGGAAUGUGGCACCUUCGGGUGUGUUAUAGCCCUCAGUCACAUACAACAGUUGGGAUUGAGGAUCUCAGCACGCCUUUAUGGCCGGGGUUCGCCCACGUUCGUGCUUAGGAUGCUGGCAUAAUGGCUUUAAACGACCCGUCUUGAAACACGGACCAAGGAGUCUAACAUGCCUGCGAGUGUUUGGGUGGAAAACCCGAGCGCGUAAUGAAAGUGAAAGUUGGGAUCUCUGUCAUGGAGAGCACCGACGCCCGGACCUGACCUUCUGUGACGGCUCCGCGGUAGAGCAUGUAUGUUGGGACCCGAAAGAUGGUGAACUAUGCCUGAAUAGGGUGAAGCCAGAGGAAACUCUGGUGGAGGCUCGUAGCGAUUCUGACGUGCAAAUCGAUCGUCAAAUUUGGGUAUAGGGGCGAAAGACUAAUCGAACCAUCUAGUAGCUGGU
rnacentral:rRNA from 1 species